UACGUAGGGUGCAAGCGUUGUUCGGAAUCAUUGGGCGUAAAGCGCGUGUAGGUGGUUAUGUAAGUCGGGUGUGAAAUCCCUGGGCUCAACCGAGGAAGUGCAUCCGAAACUACAUAGCUAGAGGACGGUAGAGGAAGGUGGAAUUCCUAGUGUAGAGGUGAAAUUCGUAGAUAUUAGGAGGAAUACCGGUGGCGAAGGCGGUUCUCUGGGCAUGUCCUGACGCUGAGGAGCGAAAGUGUGGGGAGCGAACAGG
rnacentral:rRNA from 1 species